GAGACAGGUGAGACACGGACAGGUGAGACAGGUGAGAUACGGACAGGUGAGACAGGUGAGAGGUGAAAGGUGAAGCAGGUGAGGGACAGGGGAGACACGGCAGACAGGUGAGACAGGUGAGACAAAGAAGUGGUGAAAGACAGGUGAGAGGGGAGACAGGUGAGAGUGGACAAUUGGGACAGGUGAGAUGGGACAGGUGAGGAGCAGGUGAACAGGUGAGAUGGGACAGGUGAGGGGCAGGUGAACCGGUGAGAUGGGACAGGUGUGACAUGGGACAGGUGAGAUGGGACAGGUGAGAGGUGAGACAGGUGAGAGCAGACAAUUGGGACGGGUGUGAGAUGGGACAGGUGAGGGGCAGGUGAGCAGGUGAGAUGGGACAGGCGUGACAUGGGACAGGUGAGACCGGUGAGACAGGUGAGGGACAGGGGACAGGAGAGACAGGUGAAAGGUGAGACAGGUGCUAGGUGUGAGAUGGGACAGGUGAGGGGCCUGGGGACAGGUGAGAUGGGACAGGUGAGGGGCACGGGGACAGGUGAGAUGGGACUGGUGCAACAGGUGAGACAGGUGUGGGAUGGGACAGGUGUGGGACAGGUAAGGGACCAGUGAGGGAUGGAUGAAUGACAGGUGAGGGACAGGUGUGGGACACAGCUGGGACAGGUGAGAGACCUGGGACAGGAGAGGUGAGGAACAUGGGACAGGUGAGACAGGUGAGAUACAGGUGAGAUGAGACAGGUGAGGGACAGGGGACAGGUGUGUGAUGGGAAAAGUGUGGAACAGGUGGGACAGGUGAGGGACAGGUAAGAAAAGACAGGUGAAGGACAGGUAAGGAACAAAGACAGGUGAGACAGGUGGGAAGUGUGGGACAUGGAUAGGACAGGUGAGGUGGGACAGGUGUGAGGCAAUGCUAGGACAGGUGUGGGGCAGGCGAUGGUACCUAAAUGCCUCGAGGUUGAGCCCUGCCAGGUACGGCAGGUGUGCACGUGUACACAGGUGUGGGCAGGUGUGCAGAGGUGUGUGCAAGUGUGCACAAGUGUGUAAAGGUGUGCAGAGGUGUGUCAGGUGUGCACGGGUGUGUACAGGUGUGCAUG